AUACGGAGGGUGCAAGCGUUACUCGGAAUUACUGGGCGUAAAGGACGCGUAGGCGGCUUAGAAAGUCAGAUGUGAAAGCCUAUGGCUUAACCAUAGAACUGCAUUUGAAACUUCUAAACUAGAGUGGGGGAGAGGUCAGUGGAAUUAGUGGUGUAGGGGUAAAAUCCGUAGAGAUCACUAGGAAUACUCAUUGCGAAGGCGACUGACUGGAACUUAACUGACGCUGAGGCGUGAAAGCGUGGGGAGCAAACAGGAUUAGAAACCCCAGUAGUCC
rnacentral:rRNA from 1 species